CUGAAAAGUACCUACAUUCCAUUAGAAACUUACGUGUUUGUAAUAGUUUGAAGAAUCAUAGCUCUAGAUAAAAUUUGAAGUAAAAUUCAAAAACUACAAAAUUCAGAGCUCUUUUUUUAGGAAUUUCAAUUAUGAUUAUUACAUUUUUAGAUGAGCUUAUCGAGGCACAGCUAAUUUAAAUCAUUUACUUUCACACAGCCAGAUUUUGACAGAACUAGAACUAGAUCCUAAGCCUUAAGUAUCCCUUUUCAUUAUUUCUUCUAUUAUUCCCAAUGCCCUUCAAUAGUUACUGCAAUGGCUGCUGUAGACAGGAAACUCUGUUUUAGAUUUAUAAUGUUAAGAGAAAACGAUAAACAUAAUAGAUAUAAAUUGAAUAAUAAUGAAAAAUUAGUUUUAUGUCCUUGGCAAGAAGCACCAAAAGCAUGCUAUAAUUAAUUGCAGCUGUUUUCACAUAGAAGCGGUACAGUUUCCCUUUCUUCUCAGGAGUUGCUGAAUCAGGCUAUGUAGCAAAGUUGAUGUAUACCUUCUGUGGAAAUUAGAUGUUUUAGAUGCACUGUUCUCAGAUGCCAGGAUGGAUGACAGUAUGAGAUAUAAUCCUUUCCUGUGUAAUGCAACCUAAACCAAUCUACGUUCUAGAAGUCAUUUGAUUUCUCCCCUCUCUAGUGCUAUCACAUAGCAACUGACUCUCCGGGGACUCCAUUCAUGCUGAGAUUGCACUAGCUAGUGAUUACACUACUGAAUCAGUCUGUAAUCAAUCUUGCAUCCUACUGAUCUUUUUUGGAAUUUUUCUUUUGGUCACCAACUAAUGGGAAACACAGCAUGGUAAAGAAUAAUAUAGUUUCAUCUAAUUGUAGCUCCAUUAAAAAGGCCUCUGGGUACUCUUGUAUUCACCUUACAAUGAAAGUGUUCAUAAUGCACUCAAUUUCUAAAGUCAAAACAGGUAAUUAUUAUAGAGUUAGCUUGACUUACCUUGAGUAUAAAUGCAUCAUUUUCAAAAUAUAUGAGUUCCCAAAACAAAGUUUUCUCAGAACAAAAUGUGUUUUUUUCUCUUCUAUUUUCUUUUUAUAGUUAAUACAGACACCCAGAUGGGCUUCAUCAUUAGGAGAUGCCCUCUCCAACUUAUAGAUUAGUAAAGAAAUGUAUAUAUGACAUAAUUUAAAGGGCAUUGACAGUUCUGUCUUCAGUGCAUAUUUUUAAUAGGCAGGGCUAGUGAGGGAAACAUGAUAAGAUAUCUCAGUUUUCAGCCACUUCUAACAUGGUAUAUAUGAAGAUAUAUGAAGCAAUAAUUUAGAUCCACAGAAACUGAAAGUAAAAUAAGUAUUGGAAAAAAAUGGAGGUAAAUGCAAGUUAGAAAUAUAUGUUCUUACCAUGUUGCCAACAAAGUAUUUUGAGGAGACUGCUUGAUUGUGACAGAUUUCCCAAUUACUCAUAUUUAUAUCUGCCUUAGUUUGUGUUUUGUAGAAACGUAGAACCUGAGAAAACAACUGGAAUGCGUAAGCUCAUUCUGGAGUUUGUUCUGAAGAAGUAAGGUGCAUAUGAUGGAACAGGAAGAAUGAAAAAUGCAACGAAGAAAAUAAAAUGCAACUUAAUUAUUAAAAGUGUUACUGCUGGGGCAACUGGGUCUCUUCCAACAUGCUCUGAUAAAACUGUGUCUUAGAAUCCUUCUUCUGAAGGAUGAGCACCCAAGGCAAUUAUCCAUGACUUCCAUGUCUUUCAGGUGAGGAUGUCCUAGCGUUUGAAUUCCCAUUGCUAAUUUGCAGAGGCUGAAAAGAGAUUCUGACAAAAUCCCUGGGCAUAAAAGCUGAAAGAUAAAACAUGGAAGGUGCUUGAGAAGGGACACUACUUCUAUAUGUAAAUCCUGUUAACCAGAACUGCAAAAGUACAGAUGAGCCAAGUGAAUAAGGCUCAGAGCACCAAAAAACUAUUGACAAACUCUGCCAGUUUUUAAAUUUGUGAAUUUGGUUAUAUCUAUUAUCAUCUUUGAUUCCAAGGUUUCUCCACUAUUACACAGGGACAGUAACAGAGAUCAUAUAAUCCAAUUUCACAACUGGAUUUGGGAAGAAUCAAAAUAAGAUGAUAUAUGUGGAUAUCUCUGGAGUCUGGAAAGUACUAAGAUUAAAUGAAUACAGAAAAGUGUAAAGUUAUUUUCUUAGUAUAAGUUUGAAUGUGGGUAAUAUUUACUUACUAUGGUAAGCACACUGGAAUGAAACUGUAAUGAGAUCUACAUUUAAAUCUUAUUUCUGCUACCUAUAAUAUUUAUAACAAUUUUUGAGAUGUGACACAUAUGCCCAAAACUUUACCCUUUUAAAAUGUAAACUCAUUGGUCUUUAUUAUAUUCAGAGUUGGGCAAUCACUACCACUAACUAAUUUUAGAAUAUUUCCUUAGCCUUAAAUAAAUCCAGAUACCUGUUAUUAAUCACUCUUCAUUUUCCACUCCUCUCGUCUCCUGACAAAUGCUACUGUCUAUACAGAUUUGCUAAUUUGAGACCUUUUAUAGUAAUGUUCUUAUAUUUGUUUCAUAUAUAUAUAUACAUAUAUAUUACAUUUUUAAAAAUUACAUAUUAUAACAUUACAAUAGCUACAUAUUACAAUAUGUAAUGUUUUGACUGGCUUCUUUCAUUUAGCAUAGGCUUUAAAGGUUCAUCCACUCUGUGGCAUUUAUCAGUACUUCCUUUGGUGACCAAAUAAUGUUUCAUUGCAAAAAAAUUUUUCAUUUGGAUUACCUCAUUUGUAGGUGUAGAAUUUCUCAUAGUAUUCCAUUAUAAUACACUCUAUUUAUGUGAGGUCAUUAGUGAUGUAUAUUCUUUUAUUUCUGAUUUUAUUACUAUAUUUUCUUCUUUUUUGCCUGGUGUGGCUAAACAUUUUCCAAUAUUUGCAAAGAACCAACUCAUUCGUUAUUUUAUUCUAUUUUAUUUAUUUCCCCAAAUAGAUAUUACUUAUAGUAGCUUUAAUUACAUUAUAAAGUUUAUGUAAUAUAUAAAUUUAUUUCUUCUGCUUAUUUUGUUUUUAGUUUGCUUUUUUCCAAGUUUUAUGGUAGAAGAUUAGAAUAUUGGCAUAUUACUUUGUUCCCACAUUGCUAUAAAGAAUUACCUAAGACUGGAUAAUUCAUAAGAAAACGGGUUUAAUUGACUAACAGUUCUUCAGGCUUUUCAAGUAGCAUGCCUGGGGAGGCCUCAGGAAACUUACAAUUAUGAGAGAAGGCAAAAAAGGAGGCACAUUUUACAUGGCCAGAGCAGGAGGAAGAGUGAGAGGUGGUAUGUGCCAAACCGGAGCUCAUGAGUUCUUACUGACUGUCACAAGAACAGCAAAGGGGAAAUCUGCCCCCAUGAUCCAAUCACCUCCCACCAGGCCUCUCCUCCAACACCUGGGAUUUCAAUUUGACAUGAUAUUUGGGCAGUGACACAGAACCAAACCAUAUCAUUCCAGCCCUGCUCCCUUAAAAAUCUCAUGUCCUUCUCACAUUGCAAAAUAUAAUUAUCCCUUCUCAAUAGUCCCCCAAGUCUUAACUCAUUUCAGCAUUAAUUCAAAAGUCCAUGGUCCAAAGUCUCAUCUGAGACAAAGCAAGUCCCUUCCACCUAUGAGACUAUAAAAUGAAAAACAAGUUAGUUACUUCUAAGAUACAAUGGGGGUACAGGCAUUGGGUAAAUACAUCCAUUCCAAAAAGGAGCUAUCAGCCAAGGCACAGGGAUUACAGGACCUAUGCAAGUCUGCAACCAGGCAGGGCAGUCAUUAAAUAUUAAAGCUCCAAAAUAGUCUCUUAUGACACUAUGUUUCACAUCCAGGCCACACCGAUGCAAGGGGUGAACUCCCAAGACUUUGCGCAUCUCUGUCCCUGUGGCUCUGCAGAAUACAGCCCCCUCGGCUGCUUUCAGAGGCUGGCGUUGAAUGCCUACAGAUUUUCUAGGUGCAUGGUGCAAGCUGUUGGUGGAUCUACCAUCAUGGGAUCUGGAGAACAGCCGUCCUCUCCUCACAACUUCACAAGGCAGUGCCCCAGUGGGGACUCUGUGUGGGGGCUCCAACUCCACAUUUCCCCUCUGAACUAUCCUAGCAGAGGUUCUGCAUGAGGGCUCUUCCUCUGCAGCAGGCUUCUGCCUGGAUGCCUGGACAUGCAAGCAUUCCCAUACAUUCUCUGAAAUCUAGGGGGAGGCUCCCAAGCCUCAACUCUUGCUUUCUGUGUACCCACAGGCUUAACACCACAUCAAGCCGUCAAUGUGUAUACUUUGCACCCUCUGGUGCAGUGGCCUGAGAUGUAUCUGGGGCUCUUUUAGCCACAGCUGCAGCUGGAUCAGCAACCUUUAGAGACUGUGAUCUCCUGGCUGUGCACAGAGUCUGGUGUGGGGAUGGUAGUUUCUCCUUAUGAGGCAUUUUGGUCACAACAACUUAACAAUUCUAUAGGAAGUCCAAACUUUCCCUCAUCUUCUUGUCUUCUUUUGAGCCUUCCACGCUGUACUAACCUCUUCCCAUUACCUAGUUCCCAAGUCCCUUCCACAUUUUCAGGUAUCUUUAUAGCAAUGCCCCACUCCUAGUAUAUUAGUCUGUUUUCAUGCUGCUGAUAAAGACAUACCCAAGACUGGGCAACUUACAAAAGAAACAGGUUUAAUUGAACUUACAGUCAUGUGGCUGAGGAAGCCUCACAAUCAUGAUGGGAAGCAAGGAGGAGCAAGUCACAUCUUAUAUGGAUGCCAGCAAGAAAAGAGAGCUUGUGCAGGAAAACUCCCCCUUAUAAUAACCAUCAGAUCUCAUGAGACUUACUCACUAUCACUAGAACAGCACAGGAAAGACCUGCCCUUAUGAUUCAAUUACUUCCCACUUGGUCCCUCUCACAACACGUGAGAAUUCAAGAUGAGAUUUGGGUGGGGACACAGCCAAAUAAUAUCACCUAGGUACCAAUUUUCUGUAUUAGUCCGUUCUCACAUUGCUCUAAAGAACUACCUGAGACUGGGUAAUUUAUAAAGAAAAGAAGUUUAAUUGGCUCAUGGAUCUGCAGGCUGUACAGGAAGCAUAACUGGGGAGGCCUCAGGAAACUUGUAAUCAUGGAAGAAGGCAAAGAGGAAGGAGGCACAUCUUACAUGGCUGGAGCAGGAGGAUGGGGUGGGGGCAGUGCCACACACUUUUAAACAACCAGAUCUCACAAUAGCUCAUUCACUUUUAUGAGAGCAGUAAGAGGAAAAUCUGACCCCUGAUCCAGUCACCUCCUGCCAGGUUUCACCUUCAACACUGGGGAUUCCAAUUUGACAUGAGAUUUGGGCAAGGACACAAAUCCAAACAUAUCUAUUAAAAUAAGACCAUUUUAAUAUAGACAAUUAGAGUUAUCGAUUUUCUUUUAUGCACACUUUUGACUGCAUCCUAUAAAUUUUGGUAUGUUAGGCUUUUCUUUACUUUUUUCUCAAAGAAAUUAAAGUUAGAAAAGGAAAUUAGAAGUAAUUUCUUUUGUAAUAUUUUUUUCUGCCACAUAUUUUAGUUGAAUAUGUUAAUUUCCUUAUAUUUAAUUUUCUUAAUUUUUGUUAUUGGUUUCUAAUUUCAUUCUGUUGUUGCCAGAGAACAUUCAUUGUAUGAUUUUAAAUUUAUUAAAGUUUAUAUUAUGUCAAAUAUAUGUUCUAUCAUGGAAAAUGUACCUUGUACAAUUAAAAAUAUGUAUUUUAUUGUUGUUAAAUACAACGUUCUAUAGAUGUCUAUUAGGUCUAGUUGGUUUGUUGGGUUGUUUAAGUUUCCUAUUUCUUUCUCAAACUUCUGUCUUUUAAUUCUACCAAUUAUGCACAUAGGAUACAAAGUCUCCAACUACUUAUUGUUGAAUUGUCUAUUUCUCCUUUUAGUCAGUUGUUAGAUACACAUAUAUUAUAAUUGUCAUGUCUUUCUGGUGUUUUGGCUCUUUCAGCAUUUAAAAUGUCUUCUUUACCUCUAGCAACUUCUUUUUAAAUAUACAAUCUAUUUAGUUUGAUAUUUGUAUAACCACUCUUGGUCUUUUUUGAUUGCCAUCUGCAUGGAAUCCCUGUAUCCAUCCUUUCACUUUUAAAUUAUUUGAUCAUUUAAAUAUAAAGUAUGUGUUUUUCCACAGAAUAUGAUUGAAUCAUGUCUUUCUAAUGCGUUCUGCCAGCCAUUACCUUUUGAAAUAAUGUUUAAAUCAUUUAUAGUUAAUAUAAUUACUGAUUAUGUAGGACUGAUGUAUAACAUUUUGCUCUUAGUUUUUAAUAUAUUGAUGUCUUUUUUGUCUUUCUCCUCUCUUUCUGGGAUUCCCUCAUUGCCACAUUUUUUGGACUAAUACCAACAUAAUUUCCAUAGUCUGCAGACCAAUUGCUUUAAUGUAACUCUCUUUACUUCUUUCUCAUUUGUGCCUCUACUGUCAUACAAAUUAUAACUUUAAAUAUUAUAAACAUCUUAACAGUUUUAUCAUUUAAUUUAUGCCAGUGUUUUUAAGAAAGUAAGAUAUAAAAGAGUUAUAAACAGAAAUACGUUUUAUUGUCUUUUACAUUUACUUACGUAAUUAUGUUUAUUUCUUCAUGUGGAUGCAAUUUACUGUCUAAUGCACUCUCAUUUAAGCCCAAAAGAUUUUUGUUACUAUUUUACUUUAUUAGGCAAGGCUAGCAUUUAAAUCUUUGUUUUUUAAUUAUGUUAAAAUGUUGUAAUAUUCCUUUCAAUUUUAAGGAAUAAUUUUACAAAUCUAUCAUUCCUAGUUGACAGUAUCUUCCUUUCAGCACUUUGAAUGUGGUAUCCACUGUCUUCUGGCCUCCAUAAUUUCUAAUUAGAAGUCAGCAGAAUUAUUCACAGUAGCGAACACAUGGAAUCAACCUAGGUGCACAUUAAUGGUGGAAUAGAUAAAGAAAGUGUGGUACAUGUACACCAUGAAAUACUAUGCCACCAUUAAAAAGAAUAAAAUCAUGCCUUUUGCAGCAACAUGGAUGCAACCAGAAGCCACUAUCCUAAGCAAAUUAAUACAGGAGCAGAAACCCCAAUACCACACAUUAUCACUUAUAAAUGGCAGCUAAACACUGAGUACUUAUGAACAUAAAGAUGGCAAAAUAGACACUGGGGACUACUAGAGGAGACAGGGAGAGAGUGGGGAAAAGGUUGGAAAACUGCUGGGUGUCAUGCUCAUAACCUUGGUGACAGAAUCUAUAAUACCUCAAAUCUCGGCAUCACACAAUAUCCCCAUGUAACAAACCAGCAUCAUAUGUACCCCUUAGUCUAAAAUAAAAGUUGAAAUUAAAAAAAUAUCAGCUGUUGUUAUUAUUGAAGAUCCCUUGUAAUGUAAUGAAUUAUUUCUAUCUUGCUACUUUCAAUGUUCUCUCUCUUUGGUUUUUCAUAGUUUUACUAUAAUAUACCUUGCUGUGUAGAUCUUUGAAUUUAUCCUACUUGAAGUGUGUUGUACUUCUUGGAAGCAUAGGUUAAUGUUCUUUAUCAAACUUGGAAAGCUUUUGGUCAUUAUUUCUUAAAAUAUCAUUUCUUCCAUAUUCUUUUUCUCCUCUCUUUCUG
rnacentral:lncRNA from 10 species